rnacentral:rRNA from 1 species
GACGAACGCUGGCGGCGUGCUUAACACAUGCAAGUCGAACGGAAAGGCCCUGCUUUUGUGGGGUGCUCGAGUGGCGAACGGGUGAGUAACACGUGAGUAACCUGCCCUUGACUUUGGGAUAACUUCAGGAAACUGGGGCUAAUACCGGAUAGGAGCUCCUGCUGCAUGGUGGGGGUUGGAAAGUUUCGGCGGUUGGGGAUGGACUCGCGGCUUAUCAGCUUGUUGGUGGGGUAGUGGCUUACCAAGGCUUUGACGGGUAGCCGGCCUGAGAGGGUGACCGGCGACAUUGGGACUGAGAUACGGCCCAGACUCCUACGGGAGGCAGCAGUGGGGAAUAUUGCACAAUGGGCGGAAGCCUGAUGCAGCAACGCCGCGUGCGGGAUGAUGGCCUUCGGGUUGUAAACCGCUUUCGCCUUUGACGAAGCGUGAGUGACGGUAAUGGGUAAAGAAGCACCGGCUAACUACGUG